GCUGGCAAGAUACAGACAGGUGUGAGUAUAUCUAUGUCUGAAACAAAAUAGUCCAGUGUACACUUUUGACCAUCUCAACCAGGCUGCCAAGAGCAAUAAGCCAUUUCCCAGGAGAAACUGGUCUUUAGCAGCAGUGGCAUUAUCUAGACCACAUUGUAAGCAGCAGGGGCAAAGAUUGGUGGCAGUUUUCCCACACUCUUCCCAUUCUGACUCCUGUAUGACUUGAGAAGGUGAUGGGGAACUUUGAAGGUUCUCAUAGCACCAUGGCCUGCCUUGUGUCUUCCUGGAGUAGUCAUAUCAGCUAGUAGCACUGACUGACCAGCCUCCUCCCCCAUCCCCAGCCUCAGUGACCUUAGAUUUCUGCAGGGAAGGUGUAGUGUGGUCUUCAGAGAAUGGCCCCCUACUUCGUAGCUUUUGGAGAGAACAAGAUAGCAGGUGGUCCCCUACAGGCCCCACACCUAGGACUUUCCCAAACCUAUGCAGCUUUCCUUACUCUGCAUCUCGUCUGCAUCCUGCAUAUGAUGGUCAGUGUAAAGCACACAGGAGCCUGAGAUAGGAAAUUCCACAAAGGAUCAAGAGCGGGAGGUGUUUUAUGGCUUCUCAUAGUAAAAGAUAUAGGAAAUUCUUACAAAGCCAGCACCUCACAAUGUAGGGGGAAACAGCAAUUGUGGUCUGAUUUUUCAGGGUGUGUCCAAGGAGGCAAAUGAUUCCACACUCCGCUGUUCCUGUAAAGCCUGGACCAGUCUCACUCUUAAGCAUUUUCCAGCCUCUUUCCCGGAGGGAGUGUGUCUGCCAAAUGGGGAUAAUGGCAGCUUUUGAAUUAGGCUACAAGGCUUAAAUGAGCAGUUUGCUUCCAGCAGUGCCCUGCAGAUGUUCAUUUCCUGAUCUCCUAUAAUCAACUAUGGAUAUAAAGAUUUAUUUGAAUUGGUGACUUGUCACCAUUUGUUAAAGGCUCUAGAGUUCAGUCAUAGAGGUAAUUGUGAGCUAACUACAGUUAGUUAAAGCUGGAGGCUACUGUUCAUUGGCUGAGGCCUGCACCUGCUUACACUUGGUGCCAGUAGCUGAUUUUAGUGCUCAGAGUAAUUUAGAAAGUUUUACUGCUAUACAGACCUGAAAACCGAGGAACAGGGAGAAGCAGUAUUGGUAGUUGACUACACAGAUUUCAGAGGGAGAUUUGGCCACUGUGUUUUUGAGAACCUGGGCUUUUCUUUCCUUUUUCUUUCCUUCUCUUCCCUUUUCCUUACUGGUCUGUUGGUGUCACUGGCUUAAUGGGCAGCCUCACAUAAGGACGACAAGAUUGAAGACUUCCUGCCAACACAGAUCCAAACUCCACUCUCUGACAAGUUAGUCUCACUAUAGGAUCUAACAGCAUAUAUCCUUUUGCAUGUGUAUGUGUGUGCACAGCAUCUCUAAGCCCAAAGAUGAGUUCUGGUACUUUCCUCCAUUGUUCUCCACUGUAUACAUUACUGAAAAAAGGGUCUCUUGCUGAACCCAGAGAUCAUUGAUUCUGGCUGGUCUAGCCAGCUUGCCCCAGGCUUUUAUGUAGGUUCUGGAGAUCCAAACCAUGGUCCUUAUGCUUACACACAAAAUGCUUUAUCCACUUAGCCAUCUCCUUAUCUGGCGGUAUUAGCAAAUAGCUGGUUAGGGGCUCACUGGACCAAGGAACUUUGGAGGAGGGAACGGUGAACUUCCAUAACCAGGACUUACGGCAUUCUGGCAGCAUGCACUUCUCCGCCUGCUCCAGGUCCUCGUUACAGUCACCCAGCUCUGCCAGAGAUUUGAGCAUCCGCUGGCGGGUCCGCAUGCCCUUCCCACAGGUCACGCUACAGUCGCUCCACUCGGACCAGGGAGACAGCAAGCACGGGAUGGUAUCUAGGUCAAGAGCCAAGUUUGGCACUGAGAACAGGCACCUUUUGUUGGGUUUGAUCUUAGCCCUACGAUUUCCCCACCAGCCACUAGCCACUGGAAUAGAAUAGAAUUAGACCCUGGGUUCAGAGCGAACAGCUUAGAGUAGGAAGUGGCUCUUUGCCGAUUGGGCUUGCUACUCUUCUGCAUCUCCUGUGGCCCAGCCGGUGGUCAUGGCCCGAUACAGGUGAGGACAAUGCAGUAGAGUGCAAGGUCUCUCUCAACAGAGGCACCACUGAUUUAAUGGGAUCACUAAAUUCAAUUAUAGUCACAAUAGGUUUAAUGGGGCCUCACUAAAGAAUACCCCAGACAGAGAUUGGCUCAGUGCUGCAAUUCUGCUUGUCUGAACUGAAAUCCCUGGAAUGUGUGUGUGCUUAUGUGCACAUCGAUAUGCAUUUGUGCAUAGAGUGGCCAGAGUUGUGCCUUAUUUCAACUAAGAAGGCCAUUGUAAAAUGGUAAUAUGCUGCAUACAAUGGUGUGUGCUUUUAAUCUCAGUGCUUUGGUGGCAGAGGCAGGUUGAUCUCUGUGAGUUCAAGGCAAGUCUGGUCUAUAUAGCGAGUUCCAGGCUAGCCAGGGCUUCACAGUGAGACCCUAUAUCAACCCCACAAACAAAAAACCAGGAAUCGAUUAGACUUAGCCAGUGAUGUCUUAUGUAAAUUUACUGUCCCAAGGAAAAUGCUUCUAUGGAACACAGGUGAAUUCUAUCCAGGAGCCACCAGUUUGAAGCUCCCUACCCAAAGCCCUCCCCAUAUCCACUCACGGCACUCAGGCAUCAUGCAUUUCUCCGCCUGCGAUGUCUCUGCCUUGCACAUGGAGCCGUCCGCGGGGCUCAUCUUGACCAUACGGUGCCUCUUCUUCAUACCCAUCCCACAGGUGGCACUGCAGUCGUCCCACUCACCCCACUCAGUCACCAGGCAGCUGCUAGGAGCUAGGGAGUCCAAACGGUUGGAGUUGUGCAGCUUGUGCUGGGAUCCACCUGCUUGCCCCACCUACCUCCAGGGCGCCCCCAACUCACAGCACUCCUCGUUGACUGUGCACUUCUCCGUCUCCUCCGUGGGCAGCAUGCACACUGAGCCGUCUUCCGGGAACUGCUUCACGUAUCUCUCCCGGGACCUCAUGCCCAUGCCGCACGAGACGCUACAGGGCGACCAGGUGAUCCACUCCGACAUGGUACAGGUGGAGCCAUCUGUAACACACCAAGCAUGCGCAGAGGAGGGGCAGAAAAGAAUCUGGGGUCGGUAUAAGAGAACUCUGACUCUGGAAGGAGAGGUGUUUACAGAGAGUGUGCCCCAGGUUCAAGGAACAGCCUCAGUGGUUUAGAACUCUCAUUCCUCCUGGGAGAACCUGCCCGUACAAAAACAAGAGGAGGGCAGAGAUUUCAGCUCUACCACUGGCAUUUAGCGUCCUAGCUCUAGUCCCUAGAAAGGAGCCUCGGUGUUGACAGUGACUUCUCCCUGUCCCCUUGUAAGCUCGUCUAUAGCAGCACUUGUUCCCUUACAUGGUGCUCUCUCUAGGACACUGAUGGCCUGGAGAAGGGACCCUUCUUUCCUUCCUCCAUGUCCUGUGCACCAGUUCUUUUCAGACAGGCCGAUUAAAUAAGAUUGUGAGGUGGGACCCCAACCAAUGGAUAAAAGACAUAGCCACCACCUGCUUUAGAGUAAAAACCAAAUACUCUUCCUGUCUCCUGUGUGUGCGCUCUUCCCUAACACUCUCUGGAUUAAGAGUAAAGUUUGCAUUGUCCAGACACCAGUCAGAGCAGUGGUCUUUUGGGGAAGGGGGGAAGGGGUUGUGGAGACUUUGGGAAGCAGGCCUAUCUUGGGAAAGUGCAUUACUCUUCCACACCAUGAUGUUCUAUGAAGAACAUGGGUCAAGCAACCACUGGCUAAAUCCUCUAACGGCCAAUAAAUCCUUUCCCCCUAAUGUUUUAACAGGUGGUCUGGUCUAGGUGACAUAAAAGUAGCAUGAGGGAAGAAUCCAGUUGGUGUUGGAAUUCUGUUAUCAGAUGAUGGGCUGUGUAUUCUGAGGCCUCAAGAUACUGUAGGAGGCACCCAUUCCGGCUGGACGUCAUUGACAAUGAUGCGACUCUAAAAGGGUGUAAGGGAGCCAUGUUGCCAGGAAGCCCUCCCUCCUCGGAGUGUCUGUCUCCAGGCGGCCUGGAGUGUCUGUCUCCUGACCUUCAUCGCUGCAGCCUGGGCCCAUGCAGGGCUGGAAGUCCUGGGUGUCAGGACAGGGGACACUGAGGUCCAGCUGUGCCUUCAGCAUGCGCUGCCGCAUCCUCUUGCCCUUUUCACAAGUGGAAGAGCUGCAGGCCGACCAUGGGGACCAGUUGGAGUAGAUGCAGGUUUCAGGGGUGUCAUCUGCAAAGAGUGUUUGACAUGUUCUCCCUGGGAGCCUGUGGAACCUAUGACUGGCUCUUUGCAUAGAGGCCCAUCUGUGUGGUCCAGGGAUGAGAGCAGACAUCCUUUUCCUUUGAAAAUGACGUUCUAACAUCCUGCUGGUAAAUAUCUAAUGAAUAGCGACCAUGCUCUCCCUGUAAGGACCGUUUGCAUGUGUGCAUGUUCUGGUCACUGCCUUGUCCUUGGCAGACAUUGUUUCCAUGCAUGUAUGUACUUCAUAGGCAGUCUUAGAAAGCUCACGAAUUUUUUGCAACCUCAUUGGCUCCACCCACUGGUGUCAGUUCACUGAGCGAGUGCCCUGUGCUGGCAUCCUUAAGAACCUUACUUAACUGAGCCUACUGAUCCUCAUUUUCUCCGAGGCAGCCUCUGUUAUGAACAUUUCUUCAUUGAGGGAAGAGAGGUAGGAAAGUUGGCUUGUCAGGGUUAUAAACAGUAACAAAGUCUAGGAUCUGUGGGGAAACUUAAAUUCAAGCCAAGGCUCUGCCUCUUUCUCUUGACUGUAGUACCUGGACUCCCGUCCUCCAUGAGGGGUAGAUGAACUGUCAUGGAAGAACAAGCAUCAAAACAGCAAGUGAUCUAGAAGCUACGACACCUACCAAAUGCCAUCUUUACUGCCACGAUAGACAGCUAAUGUUAAGUACUUAUUCUAACAUCACUCCUUCACCAGGUGGCUGACACUUGGUGCCCAGUGUUGGCCUUGGAUUUUAGCCUUUUUCUUUUAGGGUGCUGGAGAUAGAAACCAGGGCAUGGUCCAUGAUAAGCACAUGUUAAGACACCAGCACCCCCCACCCCAGGCCUGGUUGUUUCAAAGACCCUGUCAGAGGCUACUGGUCACAUCAGUUUGUAUUGCCACCUGCAACAAAGGAGAACAACAUACCUUCAUCUUUCUCUUCUGGAGCCAGGUCGGCUACAAUAUCGUCCACGUUGUCAGGUACAAUGUUGCACUGUUCUCCCUGCAAGAGAAAUGGAGAGUGCACAUUCCAGAAAGGAGGAUGGGCAAGGGAGAGGUAGAAUAGGUAAAUCUUGGCACAAAACCCUGCAAUGGCAGAUUUCUGGGCCAAAAUUUACACCUUAAAUGGGGCGGGGGGUGGGGGGGAAGCAAGAAAAAAAAAAAGCAUUGAUUAAACAGACAUCCUGACCAUGGCAGACAUUAGCAAUUGACUGUAGAACUCAGAAUAAACUUGAUCAAAUCAUUCAUCUGA